GGAGCUGAACAAGUCCCUCACUCUGUAUCACAGCAUCUGGCUUCUAACAUCACUGUGACUUGACGUCCCCCAGAACUGGAGAUCUGCAGGGACUCUCAGCAAUGCUCCUCCCCAGGGAAUAUGAGAUGAAACCCAGCUGGCUUAUACUGCUGUGCACCAACUCCAUCACCUCACUGCAGGAGUGUGGAGUUAAAUAAUAAAAUCACAUGCCGACACGUGCCAAAUUUGGGACUAAACUGAUUAUGACUGCUCUUGUGAAGAAACUGAAAAUACAGGACCCAAACUCCUGAGGUGUUGAACAUUUCUGAUGAGGAAUCGGGUACUGUGAUUGCAAAGUGUACUCCAAAGCAGCUGAGACAAUAUUUGACGAAAAAGAGAGAAACAAAUAUGAGCAAAUGGCUAUCAGUUUGAGUGGCUAUGAUGCUAAUGAAAAUCUGGAACGCCAUUGCAAAGUGAAACGUUUGGCAGAAGCAGGAAUAUUUCUGUGCUGUUUAUGAGGUAUAUAAAAAGGUUCAGUAUGCUAAGUGUAGAAUACUCUGUGCAGAAGGAAAUACUUUUCCUUGAGGUAUGAGGUACAGCUCUGUCUGUGGGAAGAAAAAUGGCAUGUACUUGGGAUGGCAGUGAGAAACUGAGGAUGCUUUUAUAGGUAAAUGCAAUUUUGUUUUCAAGUAGUGAAAUUUAAAUAUCUUUUAAGAAAAACAGCCCUCUCUGACCAUGAAGACAUGGAUAGUGACCCUUCUUUCACUUCAGUGCGCUCUGUUCGUGAUUUAGUUUUAUGAAUUUUUGUCUCAUACGGUGAUAACUAAGUCUGUGAGCAUGAAAUAACACCAACCAUUAGGAUUUUUCCUGCACAGAGAAAAAAAAAAAUGUGUAUAAUGGCAUGUCUUGCGUUGUGGUCUGUUAC